CUUCAGUGAUGUAGAUUGUGGAAUCAGAUUAAGGACACAAUAUUCAUAAUAAAUGAUCUGCUCUAUUCGUAGGUCCACCAUGCGCUAUUAUAGAUCAAAACGGAGCACCUUUAUCCCGUCUCCCCCACCCCAGAGGCACCUACUCCCCCCUCCCUCACAUUCACCUGGCGAACGGACGAGGACCUUCCUGGCCCAAUGACAUCACGCAUUAUGGGAUGCCGCCAAGACAAUGUGACAGUCCUCGCUUUGACUAUAUUGAAAGUGAACAAAGAAUUAAUGGAGAUAUUGGGCACCCCCUCACUUGCAUUAGUUCAAGAGAAACAUCCACCACUAAAGAUUGUUUGGCUUGGGUGGAAAAAAACAAUCAAGCGUUUCCAUCUCCAAACCAUCGGGACUCCCCUGACUUCACCCAAUUACCACCCGACUCUGAGCUGCCUCCCCCUCUGCCCGUCAAGUCCCAUGUGCUGGUACCACGCGAGUCUCCCACUGCGAAUGUGACCCAGACUGAGGACCGAACCACUGACUCCCCCCGCCCCUGACUCGUGGUGGGACGGCCCGGGUCAGUUUCAGGGAACCCAUCAGCAGCAGCUUCUCUGUGGAAGAGGAGGAGGAGGAAGAGGAGCCUUAUGACAAAGAGGAGGGUGAAGAUCAGGAGGAGGGCUUUGGAAGCAGGCUACAGCUGAAGAAGGGCAUUCCACCUCAACUAGAUCUGCUGGACGGUUCCUCGCACCAUCACCGCAGCAGGCGUCGGGGCUGGGGUCACUCCCGCGUGCCCUCGGACCCCUCUCUCCUCACGGGAUCAGAGAGACGGCACAGGCGCCCCCGCACCGAACGUCCCAGGCUUGAUUCGCUCGAGCACAGGGGAGAGAGAGACAGAGACACCAGAGGCUCAUCCCAUUCACUGUCGCUGACUCUCCAAACGGGACGCUGCAAACACGAGGACUCCUGUUCCACAUGCUCCUCAUCCUCGGAUUCAGAGGAGGAAGGAUUCUUUCUGGGAAAACCGAUCCCCCUCCCGCCCCAGCUCAGAGCGAACCCGCCUGAGGCCAAAGACACACAUGCAUCAGGAAGGGACAGGGAUGUACAGAAAGGACAAGGACUUGGAGGGAGCUUCAGGCGCAGAAGAGCUCAUAGUCUCGGGGCAAAAGACAAAGACAAAAACUGUGCAAUUUCUUAACCUCUACACAGGAAGACCCUUACAAAUCUAGGCAAAAUGAAUUAAAAGGUUUCAUACAGGAGUAAUCUGAUUCUGGGCUGUUGAUGUUAUGAGAAUUGGCCAAAACUAAAGGCAAGUUUAUUUAUGAAGCACAAUUUGUACACAAAGUAGAGUAAUUCAAAGUACGUUACAGAACAAGAGCAUGAUAAAGUGCAUGAAAGUACAAAACCAAUCAAAUAAAGUUUAUUUAGUGCAAAUCCUGAUGACAACUUCUUGAAACCCUUUGAUAAUUUAUUCUAGACCAGUGCUUCUCAAACCUGACUUUCCCAGUACUAGCGCAUACAGUAUUUGAUCUUCCAAAUUACACCAGGCCUGGAUCAAGAUCAAAUUCGGACUUAACAUACAUAAAAGUAGCACAAUUUUAGAAACACUAAGACCAGUGACUCAAACUAUGGCUAAAACAUAUUCCACUGGUGCAGCUUUGGCUUCUUCGGGUGAUUCUCAGGGUCAUCUAUCAAUUUUCAUUUCAUUCAUUUCAAUUAGACAAAGUUUCAUUUAGGUAGUUAGUUGCUUCACACAGUUUAGACAUAAUUCAUUCAGUCCAAUUCAGAUUAUUUUAGACCCUGUUUAGUCCUGAUGAUUUAUGAGGUGGUACUAUGAGGAAAAGUGUGAACAAACACUGUUAUAGACCAUUUAUUCUUGAGUCUAGGUUUGGAAUGUGGCCUGCAAAUGUUACACAGAAAGCCUCACAAGACCUUAGCAACCUAACUUUGUGGAAAACAAUAUGUGUCAUAGCAGGUUCAAGCUGCCUGCAGUGUGUUUGAACUGAAAGUGUUAACAGGCUGUUUAACAUAGCUCUAUAUUUACAUAUGCAAACUACAGCUGUAGGGCCGGUGCUAUGUGAUUUGGGCAGCUCCAACGGCUGCCCCCACGACCCGGCAACGGACAAGUGGAAGAAAAUGAAUGAAUGAAUGAACUACAGCUGUAAACUGAGGAGCUACUGGUUUUAUGCACAUUUGUCUUGGUGUUGUGAAAGUAACAGUUUCAUCUAAACUUACUGUAUGGUUUCAGUGCAAUUUGGUAUGGCACUUUUACUGUAAAAUGCCAAUAAGAUGGUUAUUACUUAAAUGUCGCCUUUUAACAAAGUCUAUUGUUAAAUAUCCAAUCCAGAAACACUAUUUUUGUAUAUUUGGUGUUGGGUGGCCUUGAUGACUUUUUUUUAUUGUGUUUUAUUUUGUAUGUGGAAUCUGUAUGUGAUUUUAAUGAUCAAUUUUAAUAGUAACUAAUAAAAUAAAAUAUAUCAUUAAACUGAACAACAAUAUGUUUCAGUAUACAAAUGAGGUUUGAUAUGGA
ensembl:lncRNA